UUUUGCCCCCAAAACGAUCCCAUUUCUCUCACAUUUCGAACGAAAUUCAACUCUCUCGAACGAAUCUCUCUUUAGUCUUCUCUCACGCUCGUCAGUUGUCUCUCAAGUUCUUAACCCUAGUCGUGGUGAUUGCUAUUGCGAUUGCUAAUCCGUCCGUCUUUCUCUCGAAACUUAAGAUGUUUCAUCAAGAUGGUCCAUGGAUCCUACCACUCGGCACACCACGGUUUUGGAUUAGUAGAUAUACCACUUCAGGUUGUCUAUAAUUGUGCAUUUGGAAAAGGAAAAAAAGGAAUAUACUCUUACUUCUUUGAUACCAAGGCUUCCUAUAAGAGGUACUCUAUCAGCAAUCCUGCAGAGAUUCUUGGAUACUAUUCUACCUAAGUUGCUGCUUUUUUAGUUGGUAAGGUAAAAUAACUUGAUGUGCUCAUUUGAGUUGAAAUGAAUGGCUGAUUAAUUGUCUUAUUUCUUUUAUCUUCUGCUGUGGAUAACUGUUGUACCUUUGUAGCUGACAUGAUUUGGCAAUGUGGAAAUGUGUUUUUCAGUGUACGAGGAAAUGAAUGUUCUUUUUUUUGGCAAUGAGGAAAUGUGUGUUUCAUAGUAUCUGACAUAAUAAUAUUUGGCAAUGUAGUAUCUUUUAAUGUA